CUGUUCAUGUCCAUGUCUCUUCUCCUUUUCCCAUGUUAGUCCUGAUAGAAAGAAUAGAGUUGGGGGAAACAUGGAGACCUUAUUGCAAUAUUAGAGGCUGUGUUGAAUCUUAGGGUUCUUUUGGAAGAGACUUGGGCAUGUCUUAUGAUAGAUUCCAAGCUAGUAACAACCCAUCGAAGGGUGCUUUUUAAGAAAUGUUAUUAAUUAAUUAUAUUUGUUUAAAUUGUGUGUGGAUACACUCAGGUCACUGCAGUUGCUUGUGGAGGCCAGAAGAGAACAUCAGAUGCCCUGGAGCUGGUUUUAUAGGUUGAGAACUGCAGCAGCAAGGGCAUUUGAAGUGUUUCUGCGGAGAUGGCUUAUGGCUUCUGAACGACCCACGUGGGAUCACUGGCCCAUGGUCCUUGACACUCGGUAGUGAACAGGAUUUGCCUGAGUCAGAUAAAUAACUGCAGACUAGGGGCUUCUCUGUGUGGAAGGGUCUGAGAUGGAUUAACUACAGGAGGAUCCGGAAGAAUGAUGGUGACUGGAGUCCUGGAGGCUGCCCUGCCCAGCUGCCUUUGUCUUCCUACCCCAAGCUCACUCCUCUGUGGGUACAGUGCUCGGGCAGGCUCUCAUAAAGCCUGGGAGCUGGGAGCUGGGAGCUGUCACUUUGCAAGCUGCAUUCAGUGGGCAAAGAUUCUGAGUGAUGUUGUGUCUCUUGCUUGUUUAACAGUUAUGGAUCCCAGAAUUGUUCUUUAAAUUCCCCUAAACCUAAGAUUCCUGUCUAUUAAUGAGAGGAAAUGAUAACCUCAGAAGGUAAAAAGCCCCUCUGUACCUCUCUGCAAGCAUAUCUUCAGUUUCUCUCUUCCUCCUCCUCCUCUUCCUCCUCUUCCCCCUCCUCCUCCUCUUCCUCCUUCUCCUCCUAGUCCUCCUUCUCCCUCCCUCUUUCCUUUCCCCCAUCUCUCAGCAUUUAGAUAGCUGUUCUCCUGGACUUGGACAAGCCUUUGAUGUUCUUUUGAGUUAUGUAAAGACAAUUCCCAACUCCUAUUUUCAAAAGCAGAGGUCAAGAUGACAGAAAGGUUUCCUGUUCUGCCCAGGGAACGAAUGACUGUCUUAGUUAGGUUUCUAUUUCUAUGAUGAAACACCAUGACCAAUAGCAACUUGGGGAGUAAAGGGUUUCUGUCAGUUUACAGCUUUUAGGUCACACUCCAUCGCUGAGGGAGAAGCUUGUUUCUUCCCAACAGCUUGUCAGGACAAGAGAUUGCGUCUCCCUUUUUUGUGUGUCAAGAUGAAGGAUGCUCCUGAAAGGAGGGAGGGCAUAGUUUUUCUAUAAAGUACAGGAGGCAGAUGUGAGUUCAGACACAAACCUGCUCGUGGUUGAUGUGUGACUGCAACACAACAGCCCUAGGCCCUCAAGGUUAUCUAAUCCCUCUGAGUCUCAGCAUACCCAUCUGCGAAAUGGAGGUGAUGAUAUGAGUGUCAUGGUUUCAUUAUUUUAUUUUAUUUUAUUUUUUUGAGAUGAGGAACCUUGGAUUUGAUAAUGUGGCCAAGCAUGGUCCUAAAUAUCUGAUACAACUGUCUACUUCUCUAGUGCUAGCCUUACACACAGAAGUCACCAAGCCCAGUUUAUAUGGUGAUAAAGAUAGCACUGGGCUUCCUGCAUGCUGGAUGAGCAGUUGUACAAAGAGCUUUGUCCCCAUGUCCUUGACUGCAGUUUGGAUGUGUGCAGUCCCCAGCUGUGAGAGUUAAGCUAACUGGUGUCAUUCGCUUUGUAUGCUUCCGGUGGCACUUCAGGCACUCCCACUGCUUUAUCUUUGGGGUAAAAAGCCUCACUAGAUAUUCUGACAGUGAGUAGACAUGGUCUGUGUGGGGAAUGAACAGUGGCUCUGAGCACAGCCAACUUUUCAGAGAGAAUGAAGAAUUAGAAAGAAAGAUGUGCCUGGUGAUAUAUGGUCCAGUUGAGUGUUUAAGCGGUUCAUGUCACACAUGGGACUCCAUCUCCUUCAAAAUACUGGUGCCUGUAGCUCUGGCAACCCCCAGCUUUUCCUUAAUGCCUGGAGAGAGUGAGAGCUUCUGAUGAUUCCACUAUGGCCCCCAUCAUGAAACAGCAGCUCCAGGUGCUGAGCCCUUGGCUACAGGAGACCGGGCUCUGGUGUCGCUCUCUCUUAUUGAAUGUAAGCUGAGGCUAAAGGUCAAGGUGAUUUUCUCUCUUUUAUAACAUCAUAAAAAGGCAUCUCAUUCUUCAGACACUUCUUAGGGCUCAUGUCCAGGUCACGAUUAGCAGGUAAUCUCAUAGGCCUGUGAUCCAUCAAGGCCUGUAGCCUGUCUGCCGAAAUCCACUGAAGGGGAGAGACUGGUUCUGUCCCAAGGACGCUUCACUGUCGUGGCAUUAAAAUGAACUGGCUUCCUUUAAGCCUAUUCUUGCCUAUCUGGAGUUGAUGCCCAUAGCCUUUUGGCCUCUUGCUGGUGUGGCUCUCUGGUCACCAUUUGCCUUUUCAAAGAGAAUGCUGUCCUUAAUCACUUAGGCUUGCCUGGGGUCGCACCACAAAAAUGAGUGUCAGGAGAGAAGUGGAAUCUAGAUUUUUCUAGUAUACACCCAGUGCGAAGACCAUCUCGGAUUUAUUUCUGGACAUUUUCUAUAAAAUACUCUCUGAGUGAGGUCCGAGGUUCCCUGGAAGCUGGCCAUGGGGCCACAUUGAGAAAUAAUCAGACUGUCCCUUCUGUUCGUCCAGCUCAACCCAGACAUCCAAGAGGAGACAAGUAAGACAAGUAAGAAAGUGGCAGAAAGCAGCUCCUCUUGUGAGCCUGACCUUCCCUGAUACUCCUUGACCCUCCCUGACCCUUCCUGAUAAUCCCUGACCAUCCUUGACCCUCCUUGAUACUCCUUCACCCUCUCCACCCCUCCCUGACCUUCUCAAACCCUCCAUCACCCUCUCUGACUCUCCCUAAACUCCCCUGAUACUCCCUGACCCUCCCUGGCCAUCUCUCACCCUCCCUGACCCUCUUUGACACUUCCUGACCCUCUCUGAUACUCCCUGACCCUCCACUGACCUUCCUUGAUGCCCCCUAACCCUCCUUGUCCUUCUCUGGCCUCUGAACACAUGGAGCCCUUGUGUCCUGCUUCCACAGUAUCCCAUGGUAUCCACAAAGGCCACUCCGCUUCUAGCCUUGGGAGAGCCAAGUAGAAGAAGGCGCAGAAGGCUGGCAGUGUGGCAGACUGCAUCUCCAGUCCUGAUAUGCCUCUUCCAGAAUGUGCAGUAUUUGGUGAUACAAGCUCAUCUGUCUGCACUGUGCUUUUAAAAAGAAAUAAGAAUUGCUGAUGUUUAACUGUUAUGAGCCGUAAGAGGAGUUGGUUCUUUAUAGAUCUACCUAGCUCAGAGUCUGGUUCAUGGCAGUUACUCAUGUAGUGAUCACAUUAUCACUAUUAUUUCCAUGAAAUUAGACAGAUCUAAGUCUAUCUGAGACUCAGGUGCAUUCUCUAAACCAGUGCCUCGUGGGAUUCUCUGGUCAAUAUUUGUUUCCUUCCUUCUGUGAGGCAAAUACAACACAAACUUUUGAAAGGGUCAAGGGGGAGAGAGAAAGUCAGAGACAGACAGACAGACAGACAGACAGACAGACAGACAGAGAGAGAGAACUGAAGGUGAAGGAUGAAGUUCAGGUAUUUGCACCAUGAGCUUCACGUGUCUCUACCUAUGAGAGAACGUUGACAUUUGUAUUCCUCUGUCCCCUCCACCUCCCUCUCUCCCUCCUCCCCCUCUGGUUCUUUCUUAAGACAAAGCCAAACUACUUCAGUACAUUUCUGGAAAAUAUGCUCUAUAAAAGCAAUUAACAAAAUAGAAAAAUAUUGAAAGAUAAACAUAGUGAAAUAAGAAACAACCCUUACGGAGAACAGGCACAUGAUCCUGUGAUUUUCGCAUACGCAUAGACAGAGAAAUAUGGACCCUAAAAACACUUUAAUAAAAUGAGCUCAUAAUUCCAAAUACUAUUUUAAAACAUGAAAGCACCACUUUCAAUUUCAUUGGAAUUUAACAGAAGAAAAUACAGUCAAAUAAGACUACAGAAGUUAUUGAGGAAAUACGGUUUUUUACAGUAGGAUAGUAUUUUGUGAAAACAUUUCUAAGGUUAAUCAGAAGAGGCCAUCAUCAUUUAUUUUAAAAAAGAGAUGAUUCAGUUGUUCACAGGCCAGCAUUAUCUUCUCAUAGAAGACAGAUUCUCGCACCAGAUUCUUCAAUGAAGAACCUCUUGUCACGCUAUCAUAUGUCAUCUGAACAUUCUGGAAACUGUUCAGUAGUAAUGCCCAUUUUGCUGAUUGGUAAAGUGAUUAUCAGAGGCAUCCAAUGACUUCAAUAGGGUCACAAGCACAGGGUGGGAAAAGAAGAGUGGAAAGCCACGUUUGUUGGAACUCAGGGAACAGGGCCAUGCCCACAUUCAGGUGUGACAGUCAGGUUUGUGCUGCAGAGGAUGAAGAUAUGAGUCCUCUAUGAUCUCCUCUUGUUUCCCUUCCUAGACAACUAGAGAACCCCCCACCCCCCACCCAGGCACUUUCCUACAAACUCCUGGGUUACCUUACUAGUGUUACAUCACUCAGACCGAUGGCUCUGUGUAAGGUAGUUCUAUUUACGCAUCUAUUCCAUUCCCUGGCUACUUUCUCUCUAGGGGGCAGAAGUGGUGUAUUGGUUACUGAAAACAAAAUUACUGACAAAAAAAUUAUGGAAGAAUGAGUUUCAGGGGAUUGUGCCCAUCAUGGAAGGAAGGUGCAGCUUCUAGAGUGCAGGGUGGCUGGUCACACAGAGUGUGGCGUCUGCUGUCAGGAAGAAGAGGGAGAUGAGGUCUUGUCUUAGCUUACUUUCAUCUUACUUGGUUUGUGACCCCAGCCCAUGGGAUGGUGCUACCCACAUUCAGGGCGGGCCUUCCCUCCCUUGUUAAUCCCCUCUGAAAACCCUCUUAUAGACAUGACCAGGACUGUGUGUCUCUCUGGUGACUUCAAAUCCAGUCAAGUUGACAAUGAGGAUGAAAGCAGCAGAGUUGUGGGGGAUAAAAACCAACAUCAAGGGAGACAGACAACCAUAUGUUAUCUCAUGAGCGGGGCACAGCAGAUAAGGGUGCUUCGGGUGGAAUUUUGCCAAGUUCACAAACAGAGGAGCUUCACUGAGAGCUAUUGCUUACUGUUAGUCUAAGUAUCAGCCUUGCCUCCAUUAAUGGGAUUUUAUUCCUAAAUCAUUUUCUUCCUUCUCUUUUUCAGUUGACUGAACACCACAAUCACAGAGUUUUGUUCAAGAAGGGCUUGUGCGUAUUGUAUCACUGGUUUCAUUAAGUUUAAGAGAGUGUUGUUUUUAUAUAACAUUACCACAUGCCAUCCUUUACCCUGUUCACUUUCUUUCUCUAAGCACGUUGUGAAUAUUGCUUUUUUGGCUUCGUGCACUGCCCGGAGAGUGCUGCUGAGAUGAGCCAGGAUUCAACACCUUUGAUGCCUGCUCUCCCUGCCUGUCUGAAUGCCUGAAGUAUCAUCAUUUAGCCAGCCAGUAUCUUGAGGGGUUUGCAUCUUCCCAAAAUAUGGAAUAUCUUUUAGCUUUCAUAUUCCAUUUUAAAAUUUAGAUAAUUAAAGAAUUAUACUUUUG